GGAGUUAGCCGGUGCUUCUUCUGUGAGUGAUGUCCUUCCUGCCGGCUAUUAACCCGCAGGCCUUCUUCCUCACUGAAAGUGCUUUACAACCCGAAGGCCUUCUUCACACACGCGGCAUGGCUGGAUCAGGGUUGCCCCCAUUGUCCAAUAUUCCCCACUGCUGCCUCCCGUAGGAGUCUGGGCCGUGUCUCAGUCCCAGUGUGGCUGAUCAUCAUCUCAGACCAGCUACGGAUCGUCGCCUUGGUGAGCCGUUACCUCACCAACCAGCUAAUCCGACAUAGGCUCAUCCGAUAGCGCGAGGCCCGAAGGUCCCCCGCUUUCCCCCGUAGGGCGUAUGCGGUAUUAGCCUGGGUUUCCCCAGGUUAUCCCCCACUACCGGGCAGAUUCCUAUGCAUUACUCACCCGUCCGCCGCUCGCCACCAGGGAGCAAGCUCCCCGUGCUGCCGCUCGACUUGCAUGUGUUAGGCCUGCCGCCAGCGUUCAAUCUGAGCCAGGAUCAAACUCUGA
rnacentral:rRNA from 1 species